rnacentral:lncRNA from 1 species
CAGGGCCUGCAGCAUCCUGCACACUCGGCCUCCCCACUCCACCCCACCCCCAGCGAGUCUCUUCCCUCCUGGCCUCCUCCACCCAGGGAGCCUACAGCCUUCCGGAGUCACCUUAAAAAAACUCCCAACCACAAAGCAAACAAAAGGCCGAUCGGGAGGCGAGCGAGCGCAGCGGGGGUUCCCGUGGCCUUUCUCCAGCCAGGCCCUGGACAGCCCCCUCCCCGCCCCUGCCUGGCUCCAGUCCCGCGAGUAACCCCCAACCCCCCACUGCCCUCCCGGCAGAUACCAAGCCGGGCGCCUACACGCCUGCCACCGGGGGCUCGGGCCCCACGUAUUGUGCCGGGCCGGCGGGCGCCUCACCAAGUGCAACUCCGGGCUCAGCAGCUCCUGGGAGCCCAGGCCCAGGCUGGCCAGCCAGCGCCGCGAGGCCUCCCCCUGCCUCUGGCCCGGCCCGGCCCGGCCGCCCGGGAAGGGCCGCCGGGGAGGGGCCCGAACUGUCUCCUUCCCACAAAAGCGCCCAGGAGCGGGCAGCAGGACACGGUUCUAAGAGAAGUUGGCUUCCGGGUUUGCUUUUUGAACAAAACCAAAGGGAUCCUGCGCGGCCGGGCAGGGCCUCGGGAGGGCGCCGUGUGUGCGGGGCCCCGGCGCGGGCCGCACCGAGCACUGCAGCUCGAGCCCGGCCGCGCGCCGCCCGGUGCGCGCCAGGCCCGGCCGCUCCCAGGCACCCGCGGCCGGAAGAGCACGGCGGCCGGCCCCGGGCGGCGGGGACGGAGCGCGCGGCGAGGGGCCCGCGCGGACUUACGGGGCGGCUCGGCGGCAGCGGCAGCAGCAAGGUGUCCGGCCCGUGCCCUCUUGGCCGCUCGCGCCUUUUCUCUCCGCGCUCCUCGCUGGCCCGCCCGCCCGCCUCCUCGCUUCCCGCCCGCGCGCCGCGCGCUCGCCCCCGCCGCCCGGCUCCGCUGCCGAGUGAACUGGAACCAGUCGCCGCGGCCCGGGAUUCCCACAAUGCACCGCGCGCCGCUCGUCACAUCCCAUCCCGUCCCCGCGCGUCCGGCCGCCCCUCCCGCGCCACCGGGGCGCCCCGGCCUUGACCCCAGCCCGCGGCUGCGCGCGCGCGCGGGGCCCUCCGCGCUCCGCCGCCCGCACGUCGGUCGGCGUGUCUCCCCGAGGCCCGGGCGUCUGGCAGCCCGCCCGGACGCUGGACGCAGGGUCCACCCCCAGCCCUGGGCGCGACCUGAGCCAAGUCCUUGGAAAGGGUCGGGCCCCCGGCAGAGGUGCUUCUCCAGCGCGUGUCCCAGCCUGUGUCUCCAGUGA